rnacentral:tRNA from 1 species
GGGCUCGUAGCUCAGUGGUAGAGCACUUAUCUGAUAAGUAAGGGGUCCAUGGUUCGAAUCCAUGCGAGCCCA